AUUUAUUUAUAAAAUCGAUAGUUCCUUCAUUUAAAUCAAGAAAAGCGCCAGUCCUGGUGUGCAAAAAUUUAUAGGAACAGAACAGGCUCCUAUAAAGCAUGUCAAGAAACGGAUUUGAUGCAUCGAUUAUUCAAAACUUAGAAAUUAUCCUUCCUUCCACUUAAUUGUGGGGGGCAUGAUUAUGAAGAAUUAGCAAAGGACUGUAGACAAUGGUUCAUUGAUAAUGAAGCAGAUUAUAAUUUGAGAGAUUCUGAAAGCUUUCUUUGCAUAAUGGACCCCAGAAUAAGAAGUAAUUCACUCGGCAAGAUUGGCUAUAAUGAAUUUUGAUAAAAUAUUUAGAAGUUUUGUUAUGAAGAAUGCUUAGCCUUGGGGAAACGUGUGAAAUGCUCUUAUGAACAUUUGUAGAAGGCAGUUGAAAUAUGGAAUAAAAGACAAAAAAACAUCUAAGAAGAUCUGGACAAGGAAUAAGUAUAAAUAAUAUCCAGCAUAUUAUUCCUGCUCAAGCUUUUACCAUAGAAGCUGCCGUGAUUGAUUUAAAGAAACUAACAAAUUUAGAAGCAAUGAAAUAUUAAAGAGUUGCCAAUAGUUAAUCUUAUAAAGAAAAGAAUUUUGGCGUUAUCUUUUGUAUUGAGCUAUGAAUAUCUUU